ensembl:lncRNA
UCUAGAACAAUGCGUGUAGAAUGGCUAAGUAGUUGAACUAGUAGAAAAAGAACAACUACUUUAGAAAUCUGUUUGGAAUCUAUUGAAUUAUCUGUGAACACACAGGCCAAGAGCCUGAUGUGUUCUCAUGAAAACGAGAAUAUUCAUUUCUCAAGUACCCUGCCUGGGACUUAAAGAAUGCUUUGAAAUCAGUGAUGUUACUUCAACAGAAGACCUUGCACAUCUGUUUCUGGGUCUCUCUUUGGAAGCACUGGAAAGGAAAAGCUUGAAAGAAAGCACUCUUUCACAGGCCCUCGUUCCAUCGUGCUGUGCUGUUUGCACACAGACUGCUGGUGGCUGCGCAACACAGGAGUGUGGGCCUGGGAAAGGAUCAGGAGUGCUGAGUGUGCAGUCUGCACCCAGCAUCACACCACAGCUUCCCCCAGACGGCACACUGCUGCGCGUGGAGCAGAAAUCUGCCUCUGUUUCCUAUUUUAUAGAAACUGAAAUGACCGCAGUGGAUCUGUCCCUAGCUGCUAUCCAGCAGGCCCUGCUUUAAUUUUAGAAUAUGUUUGGGACUUUCCCUUCUGAGGGUCUUCAGACCUGAUUUUCUGGGUGAGUAUUAGUAAUAAUGGUCCAAAAAAAGCCAAAAAGAAAUAUAUGAAACAUUCUAUUAAGUUUGAAAUGAAAUUCUGAAUAAGAUGUGUGUGUUCUUCACAGAAUAUUUACUUUGUAA